GGGAAACAGACAGAGGGGCCAGCCCUGGGCCCCAAUUCAAAAUGGGGCA
rfam:Pongo abelii chromosome 15.